rnacentral:lncRNA from 1 species
CAAGGUCAUAUGCCUGCUAAAGGGAACAGUUGGAACUCAAACUCAGACACAGCUAACACCAAAGUCUGUGCUAACCCCGUGCUGAAUUGCAUGCUGGAGUGGGUCUCUCCUUGAUGGGUCCAGGGAUACCAAAGUCAGAUGGACAUGCAGAACAGAGACAUGGCCACAGACUCGACUCAAUGUUCCAUUGUUUGGAUGAACCAGUUUGUUUAACCAUCUGGAAGGGCAUCUGGAUUGUUUCCAGUUUGGUGCUGUUAUGAAUAAAGCUACUGUGAACGUCCAUGUGGUUAUAGAAUGGCAACAACGGGAUCUUUAUGGUGAUGGAAUUCCACAGCAUCUUGACUGUAGUGACGGACCCAGGAAACUCUACAUGUGACACACAGAGAGAGGCACAGAUUGAAAUACACAUGCACAGAAAUGAGAACAAGCAAAGCUGGGAAAAUCGGAACAAGCUUAGCGUGCUUUAUCAAGGUCGACGUCCUGGUUGUGCUAUUAUACUAGAAGUUCUGCAAAGUGUUACCACAAAGGGAAACUAGUGCUCCUGCUCGCUCAGUUAAGAAGGAAGCAGCCCUCACACUUAACUGAAGGAACACGCUACCAAGACUACAUGGGUUCCCAACCUUAGCAGCACCUUAGAAUCACCUGGGAAACUUUUAAAAAUCUCAAUGCUCCAAAGAUGACAUACAUGUGAUUCCAUUUACAUGACAUGCUAACAAGGCAGGGGUAAGGGUGGACUGUAAGGACAGGGAACAGGUCCGUGGUUCCCAGGGGCUGGAGCUGGGAGUGGAGGUGGGGGUCUGACCUCAA